rnacentral:sRNA from 1 species
CCAAUAGCGUAUAUUAAAGUUGUUGCAGUUAAAAAGCUCGUAGUUGAAUUUCGGGACCAAUUUGUUGGUCGUGCCUCGGUACGUACUGGUAUUAUUGGUUUCUCCCUUCUGAAGAACCUCGAUGCCAUUAAUUUGGUGUCGUGGGGAAUCAGGACUGUUACUUUGAAAAAAUUAGAGUGUUUAAAGCAAGCAUACGCUUGAAUACAUUAGCAUGGAAUAAUGAAAUAGGACGUUUGAUUCUAUUUUGUUGGUUUCUAGGAUCGACGUAAUGAUUAAUAGGGAUAGUUGGGGGCAUUAGUAUUCAAUUGUCAGAGGUGAAAUUCUUGGAUUUAUUGAAGACUAACUACUGCGAAAGCAUUUGCCAAGGAUGUUUUCAUUAAUCAAGAACGAAAGUUAGGGGAUCGAAGACGAUCAGAUACCGUCGUAGUCUUAACCAUAAACUAUGCCGACUAGGGAUCGGAUGAUGUUAAUUUUUUAAUGACUCAUUCGGCGCCUUACG